GAUGAACGCUGGCGGCGUGCCUAAUACAUGCAAGUCGAGCGAACAGACGAGGAGCUUGCUCCUCUGUCGUUAGCGGCGGACGGGUGAGAACCUGUGGAUAACCUACCUAUAAGACCGGGUUAAAUUUGGGAAACCGGAGCUAAUACCGGCUAAUAUCAUGAACCACUAGGUUCAAAUGUGAAAGACGGGUUUGCAGGUAUUUAUAGGUGGAUUCGCGUCGCAUUAGCUAGUUGGUAAGGUAACGGCUUACCAAGGGAACGAUGCGUAGCCGACCUGAGAGGGUGAUCGGCCACACUGGAACUGAGACACGGCCCAGACUCCUACGGGAGGCAGCAGUAGGGAAUCUUCCGCAAUGGGCGAAAGCCUGACGGAGCAACGCCGCGUGAGUGAUGAAGGUCUUCGGAUCGUAAAACUCUGUUAUUAGGGAAGAACAAAUGUGGAAGUAACUAUGCACGUCUUGACGGUACCUAAUCAGAAAGCCACGGCUAACUACGUG
rnacentral:rRNA from 1 species